GGUGGUGCAGUGACGUUAAACAUUCCUCGUCCUGAGACGCCCUUGCGGUGCUGGAUGACACUCUUACACCCAUAGAAUCUGAGCACU
rfam:Monoraphidium neglectum strain SAG 48.87 unplaced genomic scaffold scaffold03118, whole genome shotgun sequence.